GACGAACCGUGCGAACGUUGUUCGGAAUCACUGGGCUUAAAGGGCGCGUAGGCGGGCUAUCAAGUCCGGGGUGAAAUCCUCCAGCUCAACUGGAGAACGGCCUCGGAUACUGAUGGUCUCGAGGAGGAUAGGGGCACACGGAACUGUGGGUGGAGCGGUGAAAUGCGUUGAUAUCAUCAGGAACACCGGUGGCGAAAGCGGCUUACUGGGUCUCUUCUGACGCUGAGGAACGAAAGCUAGGGUAGCGAACGGG
rnacentral:rRNA from 1 species